rnacentral:lncRNA from 1 species
UACUAGCAUUCACUGAUUAUUUCUAAAUCUUUGCAUGGUUCGUAAUUUUAACAUACAGUCCCUGCUACUUGGAAUUUUUAAAUCACAGUGUCUUCCAUUAUUAUCGCUCUAUUAUUCUCCAAUUCUAAGUAAGCCGUAGUAAAGUUUUUCCUUUAUUUCUCAAAAGUAAUAAAUUUUGAUGAUUGGGACCAUUAUAAGUUUAUGUAAUCAUACCUUAGGUAGACUCUCACUGACACCUGGAAAUUCACUUAUCCAGACUUUAUGGGUAUCCUGAUGCAUUUUCAUAAUAACUGUUUUAAACUUUCUCCUGUUUUUUAAAGCUCAUAAAUCUCCAUUUUUGUCUCAAAGAAAACAUCUCUAUUUUUUAUUUAAAAAUGUUUUAUCUUCACAUUUCUUUCUUAUCAUUUGACUAUUAGAAAACAUGGCAAAAUGCUUGAAAGGGGGAACAGCCGUGUCUCCAUUAACCUAAUUAUUCCAAAAGUAAAUAAUAACCUGACAUUCAAAUUCAACACCCUUUACCUAUUCCUAAUCUCUUUUAAACAACUGCAGCAUGCCACUUUUUACUAAAUUCUUUUUCCUAUUCUAUUCUUCUUGUGUCCAAGUGUAUACAUCCAAUCAGGAAAAUACAACCUCACUAGGUAUUUUACAUAGAGGAGAUCGAAUGCAUGGAACUCAUUAUACAGUUGUGGGAAGGCUGACAGCGAAAAAUAGACUGUGGAGGUAACAAAGAAGUAAUAACAGAAAGAAGAGGUAACUACUACUAUAGCAGGAGAGAUAAGAAGUGAUGAGGGGGAGCUACCAGAAUCCAGGAGCUCAGAGUGGAGGCCCCGAGAGGCAGGUGCUUAGAUUUUUAAAAGUCCAUGUAGCUGGUGUCCAUGCUGCUACCUUAUGGUUGGUGUUCAGAAUGCUAAAAGAAGCUGGGGGUAGGGUUAACUCUGUCGCUGCUAGAGUAACGCUGACAGCAACUGGAAAAAUGGGAAGUUCCUCUUCUCCUUCUCCCACUUUUCAGUCUUCUCUGGUGUCUUGCAUUAACAGAACCUAACCGCACAACGCUUGUCAAGUGAAUUUAGGAAAUAUCACUUGCUGAGUCCCAGCCUCAUCAUUACGAAGUUGAGCACAGAACCAUGGGCUUGGAGCAAAGAGACAACAGGUGAAUUCGUGGCACACCAUGGUGAGAAAGCUUCUUUACGCCAGGCUGGGACAAAGCACUGUCCA